UUCCCGGGCGCCGGGCGAGACCCUGCUGCGGAGUGGGCGCGACCAGAGUGGACGCCAGAAGGCGGGGUUCGGCGACACGCGCUCUGCACCCGCCGGACCCGGACGUACGCCUGGAGCCCGGCACGGGGGGUGCCGAGCAAACAAAGUACUCGGCAGCUGGGUGACCUCACUCGCUAGCGGGGCACGGGCUCGCCCGCCUGCACCCAGCGCUCGGCCUCACGAGGUCUUUCCCUUGCCCGGGCCUGGAGGCACGGGGCGGGGCGGGGCUGGUGACGCGGCACGGAGACCCCGGGGGCGGCGCGCUGCGCGAGGCGCGCGUUUCCACCGCCAGCCCGUCGGCGCCCAGGCGCGGGAGCCCGAGCGCCGAGCCGGAGCCCGCCCAGCCCUGCGCCCGGAUUGAGGGGGCGAUGCCGUUCGGUCUGGCCACCCACUGCGAGCACGGCUCCGGAGACAAAGCCAGCGCGUGAGCGGCGCCCUCGGCCCGGGUGAGCCUCAAAGCAGGAGCCCUGACUCAGCCUCUCAUCUGACGACUGUCAGCUGCCACUGCCGCCAGCCCAUCCCCUGCCCAGGCCUGUCGCUGUGCCAUCUCUCGGCAGGGGCAGCAGAAUGAAAGAAGGCAUGUCCAGUAACAGCACUGCCAGCAUCUCCCAAGCCAGGAAGGCUGUGGAGCAGCUGAAGAUGGAGGCCUGCAUGGACAGGGUGAAGGUCUCCCAGGCAGCAGCGGACCUCCUGGCGUACUGUGAAGCUCACGUGCGGGAGGACCCUCUCCUCAUUCCAGUGCCUGCGUCAGAAAACCCCUUCCGAGAGAAGAAGUUCUUUUGUACCAUCCUCUGACUCCGUUUGCUAUGAAAACGUCUCCUUUCCGGUCCGUAAAAUCCCUUGUAGAGACCGCGCAUGCUCAUAGCUUUAGGGAGCUCUGCCCACACCCACCCCCGCCCAACCAGGAUUGCCCAGGCCUGUCUCCUCUUUUCACUGGUUUUCUUCACUGCAUUCUAUUUCACUUUUUCUUUUCAUUUUCAUGUUAUUUUCAUUAUUAGAAAAUGAAAUAGACAUUUUUGUAGCCAAAUAACAAAUGUGCCAAGUAAAACUAAGUAUGGGUUUAAGGGCUUAAAUUUUUUUAACAUCAAUUCCCAAGGUUACAUAGGUGAAGUGUAUACAUUUCAGUGGAUAAUUUAUUGAGAAGUGGAUAAUUUAUUGAGAAGAGAAAACAGUCCCCCAUUCGUGAUCAUUCAGUGUCAAAUCAGAUCAUUUUGACCAACUGAAGUAUAUGGGUAACGUUUCCAUCUCUCUUCCUGGAGAGUGCAGUUCUGCAAGUUCUCUAUUUCCUGCUUUUCUGUCAUCCCAUUUAAAGAAGAAAUAACCUGCAUCAUCGGAUGGUUUUCUAAACGUGGGUCAUCCUGGGGCCUUGUGGCCCAGCCCCUGAUGGAGGGUCCAGACCCCUGUUUCCCACUGAUUGUCAUUGAUCCCUUUGGAGGUGGUCCUUCUACAAAUGUAGGUGUUGGGUGGAUAUUGGAGUGAGCUUAACUGUAAAUGUCACACCAUUACAUCUGUUUAUGUGCGCCAGCCAGGCGGGCCAGGGGCACAUGUCUUCUCUCCAAAUGCCACCUUAUCCUGCUCCCUCCUAUUCUGCCUCCUGCUCUGCAUGGGCUGCAUUAAUAAGGGCCUGUUCUGGGGACUUCCCUGGCAGUCCAGAGGUUAGGACCCUGUGUUUCCACUGCAGGGGGCCCGGGUUCAAUCCCUGGUUGGGGAACUAAGAUCCCACAAGUUGUGUGGCAUGGCCAAAAAAUAAUAAUAAUAAAAAUAAGGGCCUUUUCUGGGCACAGCACUGGGUCCUGUGGGGUUUCACCAGGGUGGCCCCUGCCCCAGAGGAGUGAGUGAGAGGCAGCAGCUCACCACGUAGCAUCCACUGAUCAGAGCAUUCACACGUAUCCACUUAUUUAGUCCUCCAACAAUAAAUAAAUGCCGUGAGAGUCUGUUCUAAAGAGGGGGAAACUGAGGCACAAAAAGACCAUGUAGUUUCCCCGAGGUUGUAGAUGGUGAGCCAGAAGACUGGGACCUGAGCCCCUGAGCUCCACUGCCUUCCAGGCCUACCUGUUUGCAGGCAGGUAGGUAGACCUGCAGACAACCCGAGCCACAUGCCACAAAGCACCGUUGCUGGGGUCCACUCAGCAGCACACUUCUCUUCCCAUCUUCGCCAGGAGCAGGCGUGUUGGGCCCGUAUUCUGGCAGCUCAUGGAAGAUGAAACGUGGCUGCUGCCAUGGAAGGCUAGGUGGCUCUCGAUUUUUCUGAGACAAACUUGCAAGCCCCACCUGAAACAAACUCCUACCACCCUGGAUGAAGGAAGGGAAUAAACCACAGGGGCAGAGAGCAUUCUGUCCAAGUAUGUCCUGUUCCGUUUGUUUGGAAACUGUCUCCCUUCCUGGCCCUGGCAGUGGCUUCACUGUAGGGCAAGCCAUUUUGUGCCUGGAACCUGCAAACUGGGGAUAAUGGUAGUUACUCCUCCUGCCUUUCUGUCUAGGACAGAGGGAGGUGCUACAUAGAUGAAAGCUCUGAUUAUCAUUUAAAACAAAUGUGCUAAAUGCCAGGCUGUAGUAUAGGGAAGAACGCAUGACUUCAAAGAUCCAUGGUUCAGUUGGAGGAAUCAUGUAAAACCGCCUACAAAGAGGCAAAUGUAAUUUUCAGAUCAAUUAAUGACUUGCUACCCUCAUAAAUGGUUUUAGUACAUUUUUAUUCUUUGCUUCUUUUGUUGAAACCCAUUCUUUGUUUCAUGAAAGCUCCCUGGUAAUAACACUGUUGUUAGGAAGCUGUGUGCUUAAACUAUAGCAGGAUUGUAUGCUGUCUGUGAUAAUAGGACUUCCAAUUCUCCUCUGUUUUGGUUUAUGACCAGGACCUGUUUAUUCUGUGGUCCACAGUCUUCACCAAACUUUCUCCCCUUUGUUUUCAUUUCCAGCAUCCCUCCGUAUUCUGCCUCCACUUUUUCCCUCUUUUUCCUUCUCCUCCUCUCUUCCUUGCAUCCCUCCAUGAGAUGCCUUUUGUCCUUUUACUACACCUUUUCCUUCCAAACCUAUGGCGUUUUGUGUGGCUUGCCCCUUUUAACGUAUCCCUGAACUCAUUGCUGCCCUUAAAGGCAAGUUCGUGAACAUGCACUGUGAGACACGCAAACAUGUGGAUGAGCCCCUCGCCCCCAGCAAUCGCCGGGAGCUGAUGAAGCUGCCUGUAGCGGGCAGUCGUCAUAUGGUGUUUCUAGCUUGGCUGUCCAGCACCUGACCCCUUUCCUAAAGGGGGAAAUCAUGAAAUCACCCCUAUGUAUAAAUGUAGGGAUUCAGUGCCCCCAGCACAGUGGACGCCAAAGUGGGGAGGUCUUCUCUGUCUCUCAGGUGCAUCCCCUUUUCCAGCACCAGACCGGCCAGUGACCCAGGGUGAACUCCUUGGACUCCCAUGCUUGGGAUUGUGAGCUUGGUGCAGGUGACACAGAAAUUAAGGGAUGCUGAGAUUCGUUUCAUGGGAGCUGUGGUGGUCCAGGGGUGGCAGUGGUCCAGCAGGGGAAGUGUCUAGGAUUGGCAGGCUGUAGGGGUGGCAUGUCCACUGGUAGUAGUGUCCAGGGAUGGCAGAGUGCUGAGCAGACCGUUUCUGCUUCGUUUCUUGGUCCCCACCCAUCUUCCCAGGUCUCCUUUCUAGCUUUCUGUCAAUUCUGUGAGCCGCCAAGCUCUGUCCAAUAAAUUCCUCAUUCUUCUGUGAAAUAGCUUGGGUUGAAUGUACAUAUCAUAUGACCUAAAAACUCCACUCCUCUACCCAACAGAAAUGUGUAUGUAUAUUCACCAAAAGAAAUGUACUAGAAUGUUCACAGAAGCACUGUUCAUAAUAACCCCGAACUGGAAAGUACCCAGAUGCCCAUGUUGAAUGGAUAAAUUAUGGUAUAUUUGCACAGUGAAGUCCUACACAGCAAGGAGAAGGGGUGCUCCUGCAGCCACCCGCACGGCACCACCUCUCUGGACAGAGAAUAGCUCUCAGCACAACGCAGACGGUUGCCCGUGAAUGGGGCAUGUGAGUGCCGUGCGUGGGAUCUGUAUCUUUGGGGAGAACAGUGAGAAAUCCUCCUGGGAUUUCCCACUCGGCUCAGCCUCUGUCAGUGAGGCCGGUGACCUACCCUGAGCCUCUCCUGCCUUCCGACCACUGGAGUGAAUGGCCGGCCACAAAAACAGACACCGCCUCUGGGGGAAGGAGCUGCUACAGGCACCAGCUGGCUUUGUGAUGAUGCAUCUUCUGAAUGCAACCCGGUCUCCCAAAUACACUGAAGCAAA